AGUCAGUAGAGUGAACAGCAGAGGACUGAGCACACAGCCCUCAGGGGCACUGGUGCUUAGUGUGGUGGUGCUGGAGAUGUUAUUUCCUGUCCUGACUAACUGAGGUCUCUCAGAUAGGAAAACAAGACACCAAAGCAGUGCUUUCAGUUUAAACAUACGUAAAAGGAGGACUCCACUUGUCUGAUGUGAGAGAUUCACACUGCAGUUAAUGCUCAUACACAGCAAACGUCAGAUAUAUGGCGGUUCACCCCUUAAACUACUACCAUAGAGAAAUCCAGUCGUCUGCUAGCUGCUGUUUGAAUACUGUGAUAUACCCUGACAUGGAUGUGGUAGGAGUGAUGGCAAUAAUGUUUGCUGGUUGUUGAGAAACUAAACAGUUUUACACUGUUCUUGGCCAUUUGUUUAGCAUGUUGUAAUGGGAUAACCAGUCAUUCGUCACCAGACCGCUAAAAAAAUCUGUUUUCUUUCUUAAAUUAUAACUAUUACAAAAACUGGUAAAAACAUCUCACCAGACACUUUCUCCCACUCUCCCAUGACAGAUUUGUGAAAUGUUCCGACCAUAAAUGAUAGUUUAAAAAAAAGCAAUUAACCCAACAGAAGCAAAAAUCAGCCUUCAAACUUGAAAGAAAUAAUGAGGGCAUUUAUUGCGAUAUAUAUCGAUGUCGAAUGACAUGAAAUUAGUGAUAACAUUUUUGGCCUCUACUUCCACAUUGAUAUUAUUACACUAAGCAGCUAAUACUACAGCUGUAACACAUGACAUACCAACUUCACGCUUCCUUACAAAACACAGAAGGCGUCGUGUCUACGGUGGUGCAAAGUCUACGGUCAGAGUCUACGGUGACUCGAGUCUACGGUCAGAGUCUACGGUGACUCGAGUCUACGGUGACUCUGGACCAAUCGCCUUCAGGAUCGCUAUCAGUGUGCAAGUCUAGACUAAUCGUAUGUCGGAUACUCGAUCGUUGCCGCUGUGUGCAAGGCUCGACCAGUCUCGUGUCGAUGCUCGAUCGCUGCCGCUGUGGGCGAGUCUGUCGUUUCUCUGACAGAAGUGACCCGUUAGUGAACGUGCAUUGAGGUAAGACUCGAGAAAACAUGUUAACUAGAAGAAUAGUUAUUUUUCGGAGUUCAAGUCAAACACGAGUGGUUUUACCCACUACGGCGUAUUUUCUGUCGAUAUCCAUUCUGUCUAAUUCUGCCUAGCUAGCUAACGCUAGCUAAAUAGGUUGAAUCAUACAACACUGAAUAACUAAUUUGAGCAAUGAAGAUGUUUGCCCAAUUGUCCGAGGGUUUCACAGUGCAUCUGAUUUUUACCUCAGUGACAAUAAAAAGUAGAAUCUUGUUCUUAUAUAACUUUUAACCCCUAAGAUUUCUGUUUUUUCUGCAUAUAAAACACCGUAGUUGAACCCAGCUCCACCUCCAGCAGCUCCAACAGCUCUCACAUGCUGCUUAAACUCUCAUGCCUCAAUUUGAAUCAUUUAAUGAUGUCAUAUAUGAUAAUAUAUCAGUCAGAGGAACCAAACCAGUACGUUUACUUUAAUACUACAAUUUACCUCUAAUACUUGCACACUUUUGCAAGUAAUAUGAUUUUUUAUGCAGGACUUUUACUUGUAAUGGAGUGUUUAAACAUUGCUGUGUUGGUACUUUUACUUAAAUAAGAAUCUGAAUACUUUUUACAACACUGAACACUGCUGUUGUUGUGGCCUUACUGUAUCGCUGUUUUUAGCUAAAACUGAAGAUGACAGCCCCAGUUAUCUGCGUGGUCAACCCAGAUGCCCCUGCGAAACAUCAACAGGCCGUACUGGUGGCGACUAAAGAGGCCCGUUACUAUCGGGAGAAAAAAAAUUGGCCUUCCCAGACCUCCACAGGAGCUGCUGAACAAGGCCACUGCCCUGGCCCACGCAGAGAAACUCCUUCGAGCAGAGGGCAUCCCUGCGCCAUCACAUCAGCUGUGCUUGGGAAAGCUGGUGGUGCCAUUUGGCCAGCAUGAGAAUGCCCUGUUCCGUUGGCUUGUGGCAAACAAUGUGGGCUAUAUGAAAUACAACUGCAGACAAGCACCACCAAAUGUGAUCCUACGUCAUGGCCAGGUGAUGACACUGAACUGUUAGCUGCAAGCCAGUCUAUAGAAGGUGUGGUGUGGAUAGGAACGAUGUGCUCCUUCCGAGGGACCGGACCGAAGGCUAUGGUCAAGGUAUGGUGACAGAUACAGGAGAAUCAUGUUGAGGAGUACCUUCAACAUAAGGACCUGUAGACCACACUCCUCACGACUGUCGUGAAUUCCGGAGGGAUUGUUAGGGCACACUUUUCAGGCUCUACCUCCUCCAAGAGAGCUUUCCUCUGCAUGGCUCCUGUGACACACCUUCCUGCUGGCAGAGACUAACAAUGUGCAGGAUUACAGGAGCCAGAUCCUCUCCACUUUUGGGACUGUGCUCAAAAUGGAAAGAAGAAAAGAAAGUAUGCAUAUUAAAACGUAAUGCCAUGCUGUAUGACACUAAACACAGUUGCAAAAUUAUUAUUAUUAUUAUUAUUAUAAAUUAUUAUUUAAAAAUCUAUUAUAGAAUCCAACAGUGGCUAUCACAUUAUGCAAACAUAUUUUUAGGUUGUGAACAAGCUGUCUGGGGAGGGUGCAGGCUCAGUUGAGUGGUUCACCAGCAUUGGAAACGAGCACUGCCAAAUAGUUUCCUUUGUGCUAAACUGUGAUGAGUCUGCUGAGAAGCUGCAGCCGAUGUGCCAUGGAGUGAUGAACAGGUUUCGGCUGGCCAAUCAGCCUGUCCCCAAGAUCUUGUAUGUGGACAGUGGGUGUUGCCGUGCACAGGGCCGAACAGCUGUGGAGACAAUGGGAUGGUUGUGCAUCUGGACAUCUUUCACUGGAUCCACCGGUUUGAUGCAGCCAUCCGCACAAGGUCUCACUCCAAGUAUGCCACGUUCAAGUCUGCGCUGGCUGGAGCAGUGCUGGCGUACAACCGCACACAUUUGGAGCUACUCAUCAGGGCUGUCAGAGCUAAGGACCUGCCAGCGCUGAAGGCUGUCAGAUGAAGAUGUUCUACGCCGCUAUAUUUCCAGGGAGCAACUGAAACACCGUGUUCGGAGGGUUACACUCGCGUCUCAGGAAACAUUCCGGCUCGUCCAUCUGUACCUACGGUACUGUGCAAGAGUCUUAGUUGUCUGAGAAAGUGAAAUGUAAAGCUAAUUAUCUGAGCAGUAUAUUUUACUGCCAAGACAUUAGUUUUAAACAAUAUUCUUGGCUGCACAAAGAACUUUUGUAUGGGACUGUAUAUACACCAACCAGCCACUUCAUUAAGUACAGUGUAAAAGGGGCCUAACAAAUUAUGCAAUGGUCAGGAUCCCUACAGGACCACAACAAAGGGAGUGGAUCAGAGAGAACAGUAAUGCUUGAGACCACUGUUGCAAACUAUGCAAUGGUCAGGACCACCACAGAAUACCUGGAUCAGACAAAGCAGUAUUACUGGAGAUUUUAAACAGUGUUCACUCACUGUCCACCCUAUUAGGUACCCUACCUUGUUAAUCCACCUUGUGUUCCAACAUUACAUCAAGAUAUUACUGCCAAGACAUUAGCUGUGAACAAUACUCUUGGCUGCAUAUAGAACUUUUGCACAGGAAUGUAUGUUCAGUGACUGGCCACUUCAUUAAUUACACCUACCUUGUUCUACACUAAUUGUCCAUUUUAUCAGCUCCACUUAACACAUAUGUGCACAUUAUAGUUCCACAAUUACAGACUGUAGUCCAUCUCUUUCACUGCAUACUUUGUUAAUCCCCUUUUACCCUGUUCUUCAAUGGUGAGACCCCCCACAGGACCACCACAGAUCAAGUGGACCAGACACAGCAGUGUUAUUGUAGAUUUUAAACAUUGUGUCCAGUCACUGUCCUCUCUGUUAGACACACCUACCUUGUUGCUCCAUCUUGUAGAUGUAAAAUCGGAGACAAUAUAGAGAAAAUAAAAUCAAUGUGCUCAAAGUCAAACUACUCAGCCUCUAUAGACCAAUAUAACAUGUCUACUCAGAAAAAAAGACCAUUAAAAAUGACAUAUUUAAAUUGUCGUCAGGGUAAAUAUUUUGGUAGGUUUAGAGCAAAAUAACUGAACAUGUGCUCUAAAUGUCCCAUCUACAAAGACAUCCUGACAUAAUCAGUGCUCAAAUCAGCCUGAUUGGGCUACAAAUUUCAUGAAAAGAUGUGAAUGAUUUAGUUUCAAAAUGUCAUAACUGUUUUCCUCUCCUCCCCAAGAUGCAUGUUGCUGAGAGUAUGCUACUAUAUAAACAAAUAGCAUGUUUAUAAGAGAAAUAAAUGUGUGUUUUGAUUAAGUGUGUUGUACAUUCAAUGGACACAUUUAUGUCCAAAAUAAUAACAAGUAAAUAAACUGUAUUUUGGACUGAAAUUUUGAUGAGAUCCACUGCUACAGAUCCAUCUAGUGGCUACAGUAAAAAGUACAUUUAUCUAAUAAACAGUUUGUAUGUAAUGCUAGACAUUAUGAUUUCCUAGGCAGCAAAUUGCUGUAGAAGUUCUUGAUUGAAUUAGUGUCAGUUGGGAAUUCAACCAUAUAUAUUAAUGCUAAACUGAAAUAUGUAAUGAACUGUUUUUGUUUGACUUUACUUUAAGGCUCAGUUACCCUUGGGGUGCGUCCUCAAAGGGGUACUUCCAGGUCUCAUCAGACACUCUGCAUUUUGGUCCAAUAGCCAGUCCUGCAGAUGCAACGCUUGUGCCGUAUAUCGCCCCAAUCAGACCAAACGCAGAGGAGAACACAGAAUUCAGCAUCUGCAGACACAAAUGCACACUUAGCAUGUUCACUCACACGGCAGCGGUUCCCACAGCAACCUUUCCCACAGCAACCCUUGCCCCCAGCUCUGAUAGCAGAACAGCUUGGACACAGCAUCUGAUGGACAAUAAAACUGAACACAAAAGACUUUUACAACAUCAUUUAUGACACAGUGUUUAAUAAUAACAGUUUAUGCAAUUCCAUGUGAUCAGGUCUGUGAUGUGUAGUAGACUGAUACAUUAUUCUUAUCUAAUCUUAUUCUAUAUUAUUUUGUUUCUUAAUUUGUUAACUUAUUUGAGGCUUAUAUCUUACGUAAAGGCAGUGAAGGUUUCCCACAUUCUUAAGCAAACAAAAAUGGGCUUCCUUAGUAAAUUUUUAUGUUCAGGUUUAUUAUGGAGAUCACUGACCAAUACCAUAUACCACUGCUGUCAGAACAAAAGCUUGUAUCUCCAUUUUCAUUGUUUUAAAUGUUUUAUUUUUUACAGAAUUUGAAAAUGCCAGCUGCCAUGUUAAGAUUUCAUGAAAAAUACUUCCUUUAACGUCCAUUCAAAGUUAAGCAAGUUUUUUUCUUUUCCAAGUAAAGGUACCAUUUUGGACAUAUGAGAGUUUACUAUGACGUUUAUAUAUAUUUAUAAAUAUAUUAUAUUUAUAUAUUUUUGAAAGUGUAUUUCUAUUUGAUUUUGCCGUUGAAGAAAAUGAAGAAUAUAUUUGUUUCGAAUGCAGCAACUGAGAAAAGAGUAAGACUGUGGUGAAAA